rnacentral:rRNA from 1 species
AUUGAACGCUGGCGGCAGGCCUAACACAUGCAAGUCGAGCGGAUGAAGGGAGCUUGCUCCUGGCUUCAGCGGCGGACGGGUGAGUAAUGCCUAGGAAUCUGCCUGGUAGUGGGGGCUAACGUCCGGAAACGGGCGCUAAUACAGCAUACGUCCUGAGGGAGAAAGUGGGGGAUCUUCGGACCUCACGCUAUCAGAUGAGCCUAGGUCGGAUUAGCUAGUUGGUGGGGUAAAGGCCUACCAAGGCGACGAUCCGUAACUGGUCUGAGAGGAUGAUCAGUCACACUGGAACUGAGACACGGUCCAGACUCCUACGGGAGGCAGCAGUGGGGAAUAUUGGACAAUGGGCGAAAGCCUGAUCCAGCCAUGCCGCGUGUGUGAAGAAGGUCUUCGGAUUGUAAAGCACUUUAAGUUGGGAGGAAGGGCAGUAAGUUAAUACCUUGCUGUUUUGACGUUACCAACAGAAUAAGCACCGGCUAACUUCGUG